AGCAAAAAUAAAACCACUGCUUUCCAACAUUUAUCUGUUUCUCUUGAAACCUAGUACUUCCUUGCUCCAAAAUCAGCUCCCUGUAUACUAGUGCAUAUUUUUAUUUAUUCUUUUUAUUUAUCUUUAUUCUUUUUUUUCCAGCUUUAUAUUAAUUGUUAUCUUUGUUCUAACAGGUCAGUGUUCUGAUUGUAUACAACCAUGUGAAUCAGAAACUACUUCCUGGAGCUCUCCUGAAGCUCCCACAAGAGUUGAAGGCACUUCCAGGAGCUAGGUAGGACUAUUAUACCUCAACUUGCUAUCUCAUCUGGGAACUUCCCUCAACAACUUGGGCCUUCUCUCUAUAGAAGAUCCAGUAACUCCUAUGACCAUCUCACCCUGGAACAUCCCUUUGGUGAAAUCUUCUCAGGCCUUCAUUUUGGAGAGAGACUUGGGUUGGACAGCCUUCAUUAUUCUUCUGGCUCUGCUUCUGAAUUUCUAGGUGCCAUGGCCCAGCUCAGAAUCACUGUCUGGCAUUCUCAGAGAUGACUCAAGCAGGAAGAUGAACCCAAUCAUAGACCUAGCUUGCUAGAAGACGUCUACCAUAAGAAGGAAAAGUACAAAGAAAAAGAAAAAAAGAAAAAGAAAAAUUUGUUCAGUAGCAUCCAAGAGACUUUAUGUUCUGGUAUGGCUUAAUUAUUUCCCUCCCAAGGUAAAGCAUAUUAGUAGUUAUAAUUUAAAUAACUGAAUCUUAUUUUAAGUCUUUUUGU
rnacentral:lncRNA from 1 species